GCGGGUGUAGUUUAGUGGUAAAACCACAGCCUUCCAAGCUGUUGUCGCGAGUUC
rnacentral:tRNA from 1 species